rnacentral:misc_RNA from 1 species
CGGCCACACAGCACGCUUCACCCCUCACGUCCGCGCGCCUGCAGAUCGCACCCCUUCUUUGCCUAUCACCUCCCCGCUAGCAAAGCUAUGGCGUAGUUCAAUUCGCCAACCCACCGAUCGGGCACUGCAUUGCUGGCGUACAGCUGACGUGACGAGAUGCCGUCUGCACCCUUGAUUAAUCCGUGUUGCACUCUCUGCUCCUCUUUUCUCUUUCCCAUCCACGGCAUCCUUCCCGUCUCUCUUUUCAUAACCAUCUGCUUUGCACUGCCUUCACUGUAAUAGUCACCUGAGGUGAACGUCGUGGUGUGUUUUUGAUUCCCUGGUAUCGCCUUCACAGUAUUAUCGCUUCGCGCCAUUCAGGCGGUCUCUGCAACAUACCCAUCAACUGUUGCUCUUCCCUCCCUGCUCCAAUGCUCCUUCAGCGAUGUUAUCCCAAAUAUCGCCAUCAACGCG